rnacentral:lncRNA from 1 species
CGCAGGCUCCGGCCCCGCCUGCCGCGAAGAAACGCGGCGGAAAAGUACGAACGGCACGAGGCAAGGACUCUCAGUCACAUGUGAGGCUAGACAUCAGCUGAGAUAAGAAGAGCUCCAGUCAGCACCUGUCAUUUAUUGUUAUUGACAGAUUGGCAGAGGUUGAGAUUUCUGGCAGAACUGUAUCUUGUGUAAUUCCUCUCC